GGCCCAUGGCUCAGUGGUUAGAGUGUUUGCCUACCAUGUAUGAAGUCCUAGGUUUGAUUGCUAGCACCA
rnacentral:tRNA from 1 species